UACGAACUGUGCAAACGUUAUUCGGAAUCACUGGGCUUACAGGGUGCGUAGGCGGCUUGCUAAGUAGGGCGUGAAAGCUCCCGGCUUAACCGGGGAAUGGCGCCCUAAACUGGCGAGCUGGAGUGAGAUAGGGGUGUGCGGAACUUCCGGUGGAGCGGUGAAAUGUGUUGAUAUCGGAAGGAACGCCGGUGGCGAAAGCGGCACACUGGAUCUCAACUGACGCUGAGGCACGAAAGCGUGGGGAGCAAACAGG
rnacentral:rRNA from 1 species